rnacentral:misc_RNA from 1 species
AAGUCGUAACAAGGUUUCCGUAGGUGAACCUGCGGAAGGAUCAUUACCUGAAGAGUCCAACGGGGGAGGCCAAACACCUCCCCCCGCCCGAUUCUCCACCCUUCCUUCACACGUACCUCCUGUUCUUCCUCGGCGGGGCAACCCGCCGGCGGAACAUCCACAAACCCUUUUGCAUCUAAGCAGUACUGUUCUGAUAAACCAAAAUCGUUACAAUCUUCAACAAUGGAUCUCUUGGCUCUG